CACAUACUUCCUCCGUUCCGAAUUACUUGUCGCGGGUAUGGAUGUAUCUAGAUGUAUUUUAAUUCUAGAUACAUCCAUUUCUGCGACGAGUAAUUUGGAAUGGAGGGAAUACUUG
rnacentral:pre_miRNA from 1 species